CCCGCUGAACUUAAGCAUAUCAAUAAGCGGAGGAAAAGAAACUAACAAGGAUUCCCCCAGUAACGGCGAGUGAAGUGGGAAGAGCUCAAAUUUAAAAUCUUGGUGCUUCUGGUGCUGAGAAUUGUAAGCUAUAGAAGCGUUUUCGGUUGGCGCCUGGAUAUAAGUCCCUUGGAACGGGGCAUCAUAGAGGGUGAGAAUCCCGUCUUUGAUCCAGAUGCAGCCUACUAUGUGAUACGUCUUCAAAGAGUCGGUUUGUUUGGGAAUGCAGACCAAAAUGGGUGGUAAAUUCCAUCUAAAGCUAAAUAUAGGCGAGAGACCGAUAGCGAACAAGUACCGUGAGGGAAAGAUGAAAAGAACUUUGAAAAGAGAGUUAAACAGUACGUGAAAUUGUUGAAAGGGAAACGCUUGAAGUCAGUCUUGUUGACUUGGGGAUCAACCUUGUUUAUUGCUUGGUGUACUUCCUAGUUGACAGGCCAGCAUCAAUUUUGAUCAAUAGAUAAAAGUCAAGGGAAUGUGGCAUCUUUGGAUGUGUUAUAGCCCUUGGUUGCAUAUAUUGGUUGGGAUUGAGGAACUCAGCAUGCCGCAAGGUCAGGUUUUUUUUUUAAAACCAUGUUCAUGCUUAGGAUGCUGGCAUAAUGGCUUUAAUCGACCCGUCUUGAAACACGG
rnacentral:rRNA from 1 species